rnacentral:rRNA from 1 species
CUACGGGAGGCUCCAGUGGGGAAUAUUGCACAAUGGGCGCAAGCCUGAUGCAGCCAUGCCGCGUGUAUGAAGAAGGCCUUCGGGUUGUAAAGUACUUUCAGCGGGGAGGAAGGGAGUAAAGUUAAUACCUUUGCUCAUUGACGUUACCCGCAGAAGAAGCACCGGCUAACUCCGUGCCAGCAGCCGCGGUAAUACGGAGGGUGCAAGCGUUAAUCGGAAUUACUGGGCGUAAAGCGCACGCAGGCGGUUUGUUAAGUCAGAUGUGAAAUCCCCGGGCUCAACCUGGGAACUGCAUCUGAUACGGGCAAGCUUGAGUCUUGUAGAGGGGGGUAGAAUUCCAGGUGUAGCGGUGAAAUGCGUAGAGAUCUGGAGGAAUACCGGUGGCGAAGGCGGCCCCCUGGACGAAGACUGACGCUCAGGUGCGAAAGCGUGGGGAGCAAACAGGAUUAGAUACCCCGGUAGUC